rnacentral:tRNA from 1 species
CGAUCCAUGGCCAAAUUGGUCAAGGCAUUGCUGAUUAAAAACGAAGAUGUGGGUUCGAGUCCCACUUGAUUGC